rnacentral:lncRNA from 1 species
GCCAAACCCUUAUUUUUCUAAUUAUCUUUUCCUUUCCCACACUUCUCUCUUCUCUCUCACUGCUCACGUUCCUCCUCUCUUCUAGUGGCGUCUGUAGUGGCUUUGACUGGACGACGACGCAGGUGUGUCUCUCUCUCCGUCACAUUUUAAAUAUUCCUAUAAAAAAAAUACAAAACAGAACAAAGAGGUUUCAAUCACAGAAUACAAACGGAGUCAAAAUAUGUAGGCAGUUUAAUUAAUAUUUAUGUAUCUCGUGGAUUUCUCAACGAACUAAAUCUGCAAUUGAUCUAAUUUUGAGUUUGGCCUUUCUUUGUUUUUAUCUUCCACAAUUUUGGUUUCGGCUUUUCUUCAUUAAGUCGCAAGUUAAUUUCUAAACUAUGAUUAAAUCCAAAUUCAAGGAUUUUAGCGGUGGGAGGGUGGGGUAAUGUUGGGGUGGCUAAUAAGCAAAAUAUAAGAUGGAUAGAUUUUGGUUUGAGGUUUUUGACUUUUCCUCAGUGAAAACUUUUUUCACUUUUCAUGGCUCUAUGGGUUUUCAACCCUUUUUACUGUUAUUCAAUUCUAAUUGGUACACUUUUAAUGGAUUCAUUUACUCGUCAUACAAUUAAUCAUAAGUCCAUUUCAACGCAAAUUGCAUUUGGCUAAUCCUAAAACAAAAAGAGGGCAAACGAUUAGAUUAAUUGAACCUUUGAAAAGGUUGUGAGACUCGAUAAGUCGUUUUGACGAGGAGUUAUUAAUACAAUAUCGGUAUGUCAUAUCUUUGUGGAAUGUAUUUUUUUUAAUCUUCUAUAAGAUAUUAUCCAUUAUAAAAUGGAAUCAAAAGUGUGUUGUUUAUGUUUCUUGGUGAUUUGUGUUUUAAAACUUUUUGUCGUCUUUUAUAUAGAUUUGUAUUUUUUUAAAAAUGAAAUAGGGGACAUAUCUGUCGUUUGGUUUAAUUUAAUGACUACUUUUUGACAUGGAUAUAAUUUUUCUCCAAUUCCACCAAAUUUUUUAGCGUUACCUUUUCUCCUGUAUGAUUAAGAUUUUCUUGUAAGAUGCCAACAUUUUCUAGAACUCAAAAGCAUGCACAUACCCCUAAGAUUCUGAUUUUGAUUAACCUCUUAGAAUGACUAAUAUAAAUACUUGAUAAAGAAGUACCUAUAAUUCUGUGGAAGGAUUGAAAUUGCAAUGUAUCCUUACAGUCAUGUGUUUCUUCUUGCGUUGCGGUCCCAUUAUGGUAAUUAAUUGGUAUAAACACUGGGCAUGGGUAAUCCUAGUUAUUUUGAAAUACAAGAAAAUGAAUAACCGGGAGUAAAUUUUUAGCAACUUUGAGCUACAUCGUAUAUUAAGAGUCUGUUUACUAAAAGUUAUUCUUUUGAGUUACUUCAUAUAUUAUUACGAUUACAGAAGGCUCAACUAUAUAUUAUCGCUAUUUUUGAAAGCCCAGAGUGAGAAUUUUUUGGAAGGGGUAAACUUAUUAGGCAAUGUGGAAAGUGAGGCAAGUUAUGGUUUUUGUUACCUGAAGUAACCUAGAAUAGCUAAUUAGGCAACUUAAUGGUUUUUUUACAUUGGGGUGUGUGUGUUUAUUUGACUCGACUUUUAUAUAUAAAAGCUAAAAAUUUCUUAUUUAUACCGAGUCAUGAUUUGCAUUAUCUAUAAUUGCAAUCUGUAUAUCUAGUAACAUACCUUUCCAAUGGAUCUAAUAUCUGUUACAAAUUUUUUUAUGCCUUUGACAAUAUUUACUUCCUUAACUUACCUAAUGAUGCCCCGCAAUGUGAAAUUGGACAGCUAAUUGUUCAUAUUGCAGCAAAUAAAGGCUAAAGGCGAAUUCUAAGUUCAAAGUGUUUAGCCUAUGUUGCUCAAUAUGCAUUACAAUUAUUAAUCUCAAAUUAUGUCCAUGUUUGUGCUUGAAAGACUAUUUUAGGGAUUGAUCUGGUGUCUUUUAGCUCUAUUUUUGAUGAAUUAAGUCUAUCUAAAAGAAAAACAUGCUUAGUUAUGUUCUUGUAAGGCACUAGGCCUCUGUUGAAAUUUAUGAAUGAGAGUAUGUUUGUAUGAAUGUCCACUACCAACUCUCUUGACAUUUUAAGAUGGCUUAGAAUGCCAUUCCAUAACUUUGAAAACAUCUUUGAUAUAGUAAAUAUGUUAACAAUUUUUAUUUUGUGACUCUCCCUUUGAUCUUGUUGGUUAUGGAUUGACUUUGAAAAAACAAAAGAGCCUAUGGUUCUGUCCACUAUCAAUUCCAGCUUUAUAACACAACUCUCCACAUCACUUUUUGAGCUCAGUCAGAAUAAUUCUGGAUACAGUAACUUCUGUUUGAAAAUGUUGAUAAGAAAUUUACCUACAUAUUUAUUUGGUGUUACUUUUUAUUCUAUGUUCACUCAUAUAUGCCAUCUUGAUUUUGUAGAAGACUGAAAGAGUACAAAGGCUGAUAAUUAAAGAAAGUGUGAUGACCCAAAAGGUCAUCACUUGUUUUAAAAACGAAUUAUGCGUUCCGAAGCCUUAAAAAUAAAACUCUUUUAGUCUUAUCUCGAUUUGCGUGCGCAAUUCGGUCGCGUAGCCGGGAAGCCACUUUUGUGAAAAUCUAUGAAAAACGAUGAAUUUUGCCUUUAAAAUGAGUUUGAGUUGACUUCGGUCAACAUUUUGGGUAAACGGAUCCGGACCCAUGAUUUGACAGUCCCGGAGGAUCCGUAGGAAAAUAUGGGACUUUGGCGUAUGCCCGGAAUCGAAUUCCUAGGUCCCAAUUGUUACGCCCCAUAAUAUUACGUCGAUAUUACAUCCCGCAGUGUUAUAUUACGACGAUGUUGCACCCUGUAGUAUUGUACGUUGAAGUUGUCGUAAGGUAAUUGACAUCAGUCUAAGGGAAAGAUUAUUUGAAGAUUAUAAGGAUUAUACUAUUUCAAAUGAGUGAUGAGAAAAUUCGUGAAAGUGAGAGCGGAAGAAAGUCAAAGAAAAUGAAUUUUCGUCCAAGUUUGGCAUGUUGGGGGUACAAUUUAGGCCGAGCGUUAAUACCCCAUAUUUAUGAACUAGUACCAUGCAAUGUACCAUAUGACCACGGUAUUAUAAUAUAUAAAGUAUAUAUGAAAUAUUUUAAAAAUAAAUAAAAUUUUAAGUAAUUUGUGGUAAUUUUUAAAUUAUGCGGGUAUGGAUUAAUUACCGGGUAACAAAUCAUUACCUGGUUAACUAAUAAGUGGAUAAAAAUAAUAAUAAUUAAGAACCCUCCCACGUGGCAUAAAGCCACAAUGUCCAAACAUGACUCAUAAGUCAUUAAUUCCAUGUGACUAUAUAUGAAAUAAUGACUCAAAGCUAAGUCUUAGAAAGACUUGUCCAAUAUGCCUCUAACCUUCAUUUUAGUAUCUUUGGUUGAAUAAAUUUUGUUACUUUGGCUUGAAACCAAAUUGUAGCUAAAGCAGACCAUUCAAAUUUCAACCCAAAUGAUUCUUCAAGAAUCAUAAAUGCUUUUCUUCUUAAAUUUCAAACAAAGAAAAUGUUAGAACUAAGUUAAGAAGUAGAUUGCAUCUCAUUCUUUUUUUGGUCUUAAAGCCAAAAGUACGCUAGAAGAGGAAGGAGAUUUCGUUCCAAUUUCAAAAUCCAAGUAUAAGUUCCGUUCAAGAAUUUCGCAGAAGAAGAUUCAUUCAAAUAAUUCAAAAAAUAGGUA